rnacentral:rRNA from 1 species
UUCGGGGACGGUCCCGGUCUAAGUCCCUUGGAACAGGGCGUCACAGAGGGUGAGAAUCCCGUACGUGACCGGCGACCAACCCCAUGUGAAACCCCUUCGACGAGUCGAGUUGUUUGGGAAUGCAGCUCAAAAUGGGUGGUAAAUUUCAUCUAAAGCUAAAUACCGGCCGGAGACCGAUAGCGCACAAGUAGAGUGAUCGAAAGAUGAAAAGCACUUUGGAAAGAGAGUCAAAAAGCACGUGAAAUUGUUGAAAGGGAAGCGCUUGCGACCAGACCUGCCCGCGGGCGAUCAGCCUCGGUUCUCCGGGGUGUACUCGUCCGCGAUCAGGCCAGCAUCGGUUCGGGCGGCGGGAUAAAGGCCUUGGGAAUGUASCUCCCCCUCGGGGGAGCGUUAUAGCCCUCGGCGCAAUGCCGCCAGCCCGGACCGAGGACCGCGCUUCGGCUAGGAUGCUGGCUUAAUGGUCGUCAGCGACCCGUCUUGAAACACGGACCAAGGAGUCUAACGUUUAUGCGAGUGUUUGGGCGUUAAACCCAUACGCGGAAUGAAAGUGAGCGGAGGUGAGAACCCCCGGAGGGCGCAUCAUCGACCGAUCCAGAUGUCUUCGGAUGGAUUUGAGUACGAGCAUAACUGUUGGGACCC